GUGCCCAAUCGUGGGGGAUAACGCAGCGAAAGCUGUGNUAAUACCGCAUACGAUUUACGGAUGAAAGCAGGGGAUCGCAAGACCUUGCGCGAAUGGANCGGCCGAUGGCAGAUUAGGUAGUUGGUGAGGUAAAGGCUCACCAAGCCUUCGAUCUGUAGNUGGUCUGAGAGGANGACCAGCCACACUGGGACUGAGACACGGCCCAGACUCNUACGGGAGGCAGCAGUGGGGAAUUUUGGACAAUGGGCGAAAGCCUGAUCCAGCCAUGCCGCGUGCAGGAUGAAGGCCUUCGGGUUGUAAACUGCUUUUGUACGGAACGAAACGGUCUUUUCUAAUACAGAAGGCUAAUGACGGUAC
rnacentral:rRNA from 1 species